CAACACACAGCAUGCCAUCACCAUGAUAUUCAAUGGCAGAGUUAUAAAAUUCUCUAACAACAUCUUUUAUGACAAAUCCAACAGCAUAUAAUAGAAAACAGGACCAGACACAUAAACCGGAACUAGGUUUCCAACAACACACAAGAGUACCACCAAAUAACUCCUAAAAACAGCGCUACAAAAUAUACUAGAAAAAGAUCCAACCACCAAAAGUCAGAUCAUCUCUCCCACACAACUCAGCAAAGGUUAAACCAUCUCUCCAGACCAAGAAGUUUCACACCUACUCAAUGAGAUCAUCAUCAUCAUCCGGAAGGGGUUGCAACAUAGCCCUUUGUAACUCCGCCUCAUGCUGUUGUUGUGCCACAAGGUCAAUCUGAACCUCAGGUGGAGCCAG
rnacentral:misc_RNA from 1 species